GAUGAACGCUGGCGGCGUGCCUAAUACAUGCAAGUCGAGCGAACAGACGAGGAGCUUGCUCCUUCGACGUUAGCGGCGGACGGGUGAGUAACACGUAGGUAACCUACCUAUAAGACUGGGAUAACUUCGGGAAACCGGAGCUAAUACCGGAUAAUAUUUCGAACCGCAUGGUUCGAUAGUGAAAGAUGGCUUUGCUAUCACUUAUAGAUGGUCCUGCGCCGUAUUAGCUAGUUGGUAAGGUGACGGCUUACCAAGGCAACGAUACGUAGCCGACCUGAGAGGGUGAUCGGCCACACUGGAACUGAGACACGGUCCAGACUCCUACGGGAGGCAGCAGUAGGGAAUCUUCCGCAAUGGGCGAAAGCCUGACGGAGCAACGCCGCGUGAGUGAUGAAGGUCUUCGGAUCGUAAAACUCUGUUAUUAGGGAAGAACAAACGUGUAAGUAACUGUGCACGUCUUGACGGUACCUAAUCAGAAAGCCACGGCUAACUACGUG
rnacentral:rRNA from 1 species